GUGGGGAAUAUUCCGCAAUGGACGAAAGUCUGACGGAGCAACGCCGCGUGAGUGAUGAAGGUUUUCGGACUGUAAAGCUCUGUUGUUUAGGACGAAAGUGCCUGUUGCGAACAGUUACAGGUAUUGACGGUACUAAACGAGGAAGCCACGGCUAACUACGUGCCGGCAGCCGCGGUAAUACGUAGGUGGCAAGCGUUGUCCGGAAUUAUUGGGCGUAAAGAGCAUGUAGGCGGAGAUUUAAGUCUGUUGUGAAAAUGCGGGGCUCAACCCCGUAUUGCGAUGGAAACUGAAUUUCUUGAGUGCAGGAGAGGAAAGGGGAAUUCCCAGUGUAGCGGUGAAAUGCGUAGAUAUUGGGAGGAACACCAGUGGCGAAGGCGCCUUUCUGGACUGUGUCUGACGCUGAGAUGCGAAAGCCAGGGUAGCGAACGGGAUUAGAUACCCGGGUAGUCC
rnacentral:rRNA from 1 species